CGCUGUAGCAAAGCUCGGCCUCUGGAAUUCUGAGAACUAAUUUGCUAUUCGGUGACAUAAGAGGGGGAGUGCGCUUCGCUUUCCCGGGGUCUGGGGCUAAUUCUUCCUCUUCUACCCAUAAACUCGGCUCCUCGAGCUAAAUACACAAAAGGGAGCGAGAGAUUUGAGCCGUUGGAACAAGUAUGUUAAGAGGCAGGUUUAGAGAGGCGAGUGAGAGAGAAAACAAUAAAUGCCACAGCUCCUUCCAGCUAGAAUAUUAGGCACCACGAGAAAAAUAUUUGCCAAGCAGUUUUCGGCUGCUUAACACAGCACCAUCGGUGCUUAAUUGUUGGCAUUAAGGUGUCUGAAGGGUCAGCUUCAUGGGAAGGAUGCCUGCUACAGAGAUGAAGACCCUCCUCCCAAGACUGACGCCAAUAGCUGUGUAACUGUGGAUACAGCUGCCCUGUGGAUGAUCGGUUGGACUAGGCGGCUACUCCUUCAUCCGGCCAGCAAAUCAGCACAAACCGAGGACUCCACAGCCUUACCAGAUCCGGAGAGAUGCUUCAGAUGCGGCUGGAUGCCUCUGGUGAUUUGACCAGAUGUUCUCCCUGCUGCAUUCCCCGUAAUCCCAUGAACUUCCGCUCAAGUAGCUGAUUCUCAGAUGGGUGACGGAGAGGCCAGCCCCACAGAAGACAAAGCCAGAGCUCAUAACCCAGUGCUCAUCUGUGAGCUGUGCAGGAGGGAUUAACCAGUCUAUUGAUGCAGGUUCUAUUGGGAAAUGCUGCUUUUUAAGGAAGUGCAACCUUUUAAAUUUCCGAGUUGGACCUGGCAGCCUGCCAAGAGAAGGAGUGUAUUAAACUACAGGAGAACCUGGUGAGCCGGGGCACCAAACUGGGCACAAACCAAGGAGGCUUCGGAAUUCUCAGAAGAUCUGAGGAGAAACGAGUAGGCAAUCAGCAGGAACCUUAGCGAAUACCAGUACGGCGAUUUUGCUCCCUUCGGCUUGCCAAGUCCAGGUUUGGACAUGUCAGUUUCCUCUACUGACUUCUUCUUCUUCUUCUUCUUUUUUUUUUGCCACAGUGCUACCAUCUAUAUUUAAUUGAAUUGUGUGGUUCACGAUCCCAGAACACAGGAGUUGUCAGCACUAAGUUUCAACUAGCCCCAACAGGGUUUCACCGCUCAUUUUUUUAAAAAUAAUCUCAAUAUAUAGCCUAACACCUCCACUUCCAGAGUUGGUUUUCUAAGAAUGAAUACAACUAGGGAAUUAUAAUACUUGUUGGGUUCAGAGAAAAGGGAGACAUUACUCUACAUUUGAAUCUAAAAUAUCAAAAGCAUCCAUUUCUUGGGUCUCUCUAGAAAAGAGAAUAGUCUGUCCCUCAAGUUGACUCUUUCUAUGUUUGGCCGAGCUGGGAAAUUGAACAGUUGGAACAUGAGCUUAUGGGCUAGAGAGAUGGCUCAGUCAUCAAAGGCUAGGCUAACGACCAAAAAUAUUUAUUUGAACUAUUUGCUGGCUUAAUCGUAAGAAUUCAGUAUCACUUAGUAAUCACAUUUGGGGUUGUGUGGGACUUCAAUAGAUGAAAAUAAAAUCUGUGACUAUACAUUUUGCCCCAGCUCAUUUGUAUUCAAAACAAAAAGGAAGAAGGAAAGAUUAUAUAUGAAGCAUAGUACAUGCCUACUACCAGGACUAGAAAAAAAUUAUGUAAGUGUCAGACUUAGGUAUCAAUGAUGAACGCUUUUGUGAAAACUAGCUUGUCACAGGGGAGGAGAACUUGAUCAACUCACUUUCAUUUUAAAUUUUAAAGGGGUCUGUGGAUUUAAGACCAAUAUCACAUCUUUCUUGGAUGUGUUGUGGACGUUUAACAUCCAAAGUCGUUUUUAUAGAUAUUUUUCUUUCCUUCUCUGGUCUUGAACCUAUGACUAAAAGUCUGAACCCAUAGAAUUAGGUUCCCCUUACAGUUUUAGAGGAAAUUUCCCAGAAGAAAGUUGAUCUGAGGACAGAGAGAUGUCAGCUGAUCUAAGUUCACACAGCCCUUUGAGAUAAAGCCAGACGUGAACACCUCUCCCAGUCUUACUUGGGUGCCGUACUUGUCAUUCUCAAAAUACCACAUUCAGUGUGUGUAGGGUGUGGUGGCCUUGCUGGUGAGCUUUCAUGAAGAAACUAGAGAAAGUUUUACAGAAAAAAAAAAAAGAAACGAGCCAGCCUCCUUUGGCUCUCACGGUGACAGCCUGACAAAGCAAUAGCAAUAUAAAAUCAAACAACUAAUAUAUCAUAAAUGCUGACUAAUGGUACCUCCUUUCAAAGGCAUCAGGUUAUCUCCAUCAAUUACUAUAUUCCAAGUGCUUUUCACACAUGAUUGGCUCUCAGCUUUCUGACAGCUUCAAAGGUUUGGUGUUGCUUUGGUUCUUUUAAGGUGAACAAGCUGAAGCUCGGCAGGCAAAUAGCCAAUGUGACAGAGCUGAGGUUUGGUCCUUUCUGUUUUGACCACGGCUACCACCUUCUCUAAACUGUCUCAGACUCAUUUGGAGCCUCACUCAACAGCAAGCCUUAAUAUGGCUAUUGCUGCUGUGGAAUAAACUUUGUUUGUUUGUUUAAAUACCUGUAAAAUUAGCUUGGUUAUCUCCUCUGUCAGUUCAAGAAGCAUCUCCCAUACUAAUGGGUAUGGUCUUUGUAUUUGAUGCAUUUUAUAGAAAAUCUGACAAAUUAAAACCUUUAGCAUCUGGUGGCAAGCUAAAAUGUAUGAAAAAAUAAAUGGAAUUCUGAAAACACUUGUUCACCAUUUAUAAUUUUAAAAAUUGUUUGCACUAAAACAUGUUUAUUUUUUUAAAAAAAUCUAUAAAAUUUAAAAAUCAGAACUUUUUUUCAUUAAAGUCUAGCAUUUGGCUGUCAAUUGUUUGAAUCAAAUUAUUUCUCCAAUGUAUAUUUUUUAUGUUUAAAAUGUGUUUUAAAUCAAUAUGUCAUUAUUUUUAUUAAAAUAUCUACUUUUGA